rnacentral:rRNA from 1 species
UACAGAGGUGGCAAGCGUUGUUCGGAAUUACUGGGCGUAAAGCGCACGUAGGCGGAUAUUUAAGUCAGGGGUGAAAUCCCAGAGCUCAACUCUGGAACUGCCUUUGAUACUGGGUAUCUGGAGUAUGGAAGAGGUGAGUGGAAUUCCGAGUGUAGAGGUGAAAUUCGUAGAUAUUCGGAGGAACACCAGUGGCGAAGGGCGGCUCACUGGUCCAUUACGUGACGCUGAGGAGCGAAAGCGUGGGGGAGCGAACAGGA